rnacentral:tRNA from 1 species
UCCCUCGUGGCGCAAUUGGCUAGCGCGUUCGACUGUUACCAGUAUAUUCUGCUCGCAAUCGAGAGGUUGGUGGUUCAAGCCCACCCGAGGGAG